rnacentral:rRNA from 1 species
AGCGGCGGACGGGUGAGUAACGUGUGGGCAACCUGCCCUGUACUGUGGAAUAAUCACUGGAAACGGUGACUAAUACCGCAUGUCAUUGCGAGAGGGCAUCCUCUUGCAAGAAAAGGAUUUAUUCGGUACAGGAUGGGCCCGCAUCUGAUUAGCUAGUUGGUGAGAUAAUAGCCCACCAAGGCAAUGAUCAGUAGCCGACCUGAGAGGGUGAUCGGCCACAUUGGGACUGAGACACGGCCCAAACUCCUACGGGAGGCAGCAGUGGGGAAUAUUGCACAAUGGGCGAAAGCCUGAUGCAGCAACGCCGCGUGAAGGAAGAAGGGUUUCGGCUCGUAAACUUCUAUCAACAGGGACGAAAAAAAUGACGGUACCUGAAUAAGAAGCCCCGGCUAACUACGUGCCAGCAGCCGCGGUAAUACGUAGGGGGCAAGCGUUAUCCGGAAUUACUGGGUGUAAAGGGAGAGUAGGCGGCAUGGUAAGUUAGAUGUGAAAGCCCGAGGCUUAACCUCGGGAUUGCAUUUAAAACUAUCAAGCUAGAGUACAGGAGAGGUAAGUGGAAUUCCUAGUGUAGCGGUGAAAUGCGUAGAUAUUAGGAAGAACACCAGUGGCGAAGGCGACUUACUGGACUGAAACUGACGCUGAGGCUCGAAAGCGUGGGGAGCGAACAGGAUUAGAUACCCUGGUAGUCCACGCCGUAAACGAUGAGUGCUAGGUGUCGGGGGGGAACCCUCGGUGCCGCAGCUAACGCAAUAAGCACUCCACCUGGGGAGUACGAUCGCAAGAUUGAAACUCAAAGGAAUUGACGGGGGCCCGCACAAGCGGUGGAGCAUGUGGUUUAAUUCGAAGCAACGCGAAGAACCUUACCAAGGCUUGACAU